UACGUAGGGGGCAAGCGUUGUCCGGAAUCAUUGGGCGUAAAAGAGCGUGUAGGCGGCUCGGUAAGUCCGCUGUGAAAGUCCAGGGCUCAACCCUGGAAUGCCGGUGGAAACUGUCGAGCUCGAGUCCGGAAGAGGCGAGUGGAAUUCCUGGUGUAGCGGUGAAAUGCGUAGAUAUCAGGAGGAACACCGGUGGCGAAAGGCGGCCCUCUGGACG
rnacentral:rRNA from 1 species